CCUAAACUUGGCCGUUGUUUAUUACCAGAAUUAUACAUGCAAGUCUCCGCACCCCAGUGCAAACGCCCAAUAACAACCCAAACAGACAACAGGAGCAGGUAUCAGGCACACCAAAGUAAAGCCAACAACACCAAGCUACGCCACACCCACACGGGCCAUCAGCAGUAAUUAACAUUAAGCAAUAGGCGACCUUAAGCCUGACUUAGUCACGGUACAUCUCACUAGGGCUGGUUAAUUUCGUGCCAGCCACCGCGGUUAUACGAAAAGCCCUAAACAACAGCCUUCGGCGUAAAGCGUGGCAUGAACAACAUUACCAAAAUUUUAAUGGGGAACCCAAAGCCAAGCUGUAAAACGUAACGGUGAAUAAG
rnacentral:rRNA from 1 species